CAGUGACAGAGUGAGGGAGGGGGUGACUAGUGACAGAGUGAAGGAGGUGGUGACUGUCACUAGUCACCCCCUCCCCUCCCUCACUCUGUCACUAGUCACCCCCUCCCUCUCUCUGUCACU